UCCGAGUUGGCCCCGGCAGUCUCCUAUGAGUCCCCACCAUAACGUGCUGGCAACAUAGGACGAGGGUUGCGCUCGUUGCGGGACUUAACCCAACAUCUCACGACGCGAGCUGACGACAGCCAUGCACCACCUGUGACAGUGCCCCGAAGGGAGGGUGUGUUUCCACACCUGUCACUGACAUGUCAAACCCAGGUAAGGUUCUUCGCGUUGCGUCGAAUUAAACCACAUGCUCCGCUGCUUGUGCGGGCCCCCGUCAAUUCCUUUGAGUUUUAGCCUUGCGGCCGUACUCCCCAGGCGGGGUGCUUAGUGCGUUAGCUUCGGCACGGAGGGAGUCGACACCCCCCACACCUAGCACCCAUCGUUUACGGCGUGGACUAC
rnacentral:misc_RNA from 1 species